rnacentral:rRNA from 1 species
UACGGAGGGUGCGAGCGUUGUCCGGAAUCACUGGGCGUAAAGGGCGCGUAGGUGGCCUGUGGAAGUCUGCGGUGAAAGCCCGGCGCUCAACGCCGGGUCGGCCGUGGAUACUCUCGGGCUCGAGCUUACUAGAGGCAGAUGGAAUUCCGGGUGUAGCGGUGGAAUGCGUAGAGAUCCGGAAGAACACCGGUGGCGAAGGCGGUCUGCUGGGGUAAUGCUGACACUGAUGCGCGGACAGCGUGG